rnacentral:rRNA from 1 species
GUGCCAGCAGCCGCGGUAAUACGGAGGGUGCAAGCGUUAAUCGGAAUUACUGGGCGUAAAGCGCACGCAGGCGGUCUGUCAAGUCGGAUGUGAAAUCCCCGGGCUCAACCUGGGAACUGCAUUCGAAACUGGCAGGCUAGAGUCUUGUAGAGGGGGGUAGAAUUCCAGGUGUAGCGGUGAAAUGCGUAGAGAUCUGGAGGAAUACCGGUGGCGAAGGCAGCCCCCUGGGCCAAUACUGACGCUCAUGCACGAAAGCGUGGGGAGCAAACAGGAUUAGAUACCCGCGUAGUCC